rnacentral:rRNA from 1 species
CCUACGGGAGGCAGCAGUGAGGAAUAUUGGUCAAUGGCCGGGAGUCUGAACCAGCCAAGUAGCGUGAAGGAUGACUGCACUGUGGGUUGUAAACUUCUUUUAUAUGGGAAUAAAACAGGGUAUGCAUACCCUCUUGUAUGUACCAUAUGAAUAAGGAUCGGCUAACUCCGUGCCAGCAGCCGCGGUAAUACGGAGGAUCCGAGCGUUAUCCGGUUUUAUUGGGUUUAAAGGGAGCGUAGGUGGAUUGUUAAGUCAGCGGUAAAAUUGCGGGGCUCAACCCCGUCGAGCCGUUGAAACUGGCAGACUCGAGUUGGCGAGAAGUACGCGGAAUGCGCGGUGUAGCGGUGAAAUGCAUAGAUAUCGCGCAGAACUCCGAUUGCGAAGGCAGCGUACCGGCGCCUGACUGACGCUGAGGCACGAAGGCGCGGGGAUCGAACAGGAUUAGAUACCCGAGUAGUC